rnacentral:rRNA from 1 species
UACAGAGGGUGCGAGCGUUAAUCGGAAUUACUGGGCGUAAAGGGCGCGUAGGCGGCCACCGCAAGUCGACUGUGAAAUCUCCGGGCUUAACCCGGAACGGUCAGCCGAUACUGCGGGGCUAGAGUGCAGAAGGGGCAACUGGAAUUCUCGGUGUAGCGGUGAAAUGCGUAGAUAUCGAGAGGAACACCUGCGGCGAAGGCGGGUUGCUGGGCUGACACUGACGCUGAGGCGCGAAAGCUGGGGGAGCGAACAGG